CAAUAGCGUAUUUUAAAGUUGUUGCAGUUAAAAAGCUCGUAGUUGGAUUUCUGGUGGGAGCGAUCGGUCUGGCGCUUAGCGCGAGUACUUGCAUCGUCUCCGGCCAUCCUUGGGGAGAGUCUGUCUGGCAUUAGGUUGUCGGGCAGAGGAUCCUCAUCGUUUACUGUGAAAAAAUUAGAGUGUUCAAAGCAGGCUUAUGCCGUUGAAUAUAUUAGCAUGGAAUAAUAAGAUAGGACUUUGGUACUAUUUUGUUGGUUUGCGCACCAAAGUAAUGAUUAAUAGGGACAGUUGGGGGUAUUCGUAUUCCGUUGUCAGAGGUGAAAUUCUUGGAUUUACGGAAGACGAACUACUGCGAAAGCAUUUACCAAGGAUGUUUUCAUUAA
rnacentral:rRNA from 1 species